CCUCUCCUCUCCCAACCCACUCGCCGCCGGCCUCCCUUCCACCUCCUCUUCUCCGUCCGUCCGCCCCCAUGCCCCCCGCCGCAUGCGCCACGCCGGCGGCCGCGCGCCUGCCGCUCCCCGUCUCACGCCGCUGCCCGCCCCUGCCCCCCUCCCCCGCGCACGUGCCCGCCCUCCGCGGCGCCAACUCCUCCUCCGCUACGGCAUACCACUGCACCGCGGCCUCCUCCCCCGCGGCAUCAGCGUCGGCGUGGGACUGGAGCCGGCGGCGUGAGGAGCUGGAGCCCGAGCGGGAGUAGUUGGAGCCGCAUCUGGAUGUCAUCGUGAUGAGGAGCUGGAGCCUCAUCUGGACGCCGCCAUGAGCUGGACUUCCCCGACCAUGACGACGCCGACGCCGUGAGGUUUGUUGAUGCUUGAGCUUGCUCUAAUGAAUGGAUUCUUCUUGUACUUCAGCUUGACUGUACUCCAGAGGCUGGAUGAAUGAUGGAGUAGGAUUAGUUAGUGGAUGCGUUUGUGAGGCUGGAUGGAGUAGGAUUAGUUAGUGGAUGUGUUAGUGAGGCUGGAUGGAGUAGGAUUAGUUAGUGGAUGCGUUAGUGAGGCUGGAUGGAGUAGGAUUAGUUAGUGGAUCAGAUCCAGAUUAGUUAGUGGAUGUAUUAGGAGUAAAAUUCAGUAAGAUGUGUACUGUCUCAAAAUCUAAGAAGUCCACCUCUGAAAUUCAGUAAGAUUUGUAUUGUACUCUGAUCUCUGAAGUUAAUGGAUGGAGUAUUUGAACUCUGAAAUUUGUACUGUCUCAAAAUUUAGUAAGAUUUGUACUGUACUUGAGCUCUGAAAUUCAGUAAGAUUUGUACUGUCUCAGAAUUCAGUAUUUGUACUCGUUAAAGUAUUGCAGUAGCUGAUGCAAGCUGAUUUAGGAGUACAUCACUUAAAGUAAAGAAUGUGCAAGUUUAUUGUCAAGUUUCUGGAGUUCCUGUAGUAGCCCUACUGUCAAUUUCCUGUUAACUUGCUACCCCUAUCAAUUUCCUGGAGUUCCUGGAGUAGAGUAGUGCACUGCUCUUGUUUGAGCUUUUCGGUUAAUUAAAAUUUGGUGUAUACUACUUGCUUGCAUCAGUAGUGCACUACUCUUCUUGCUUGCACUUGUUUGCACUUGGAGCGCGCGCACACACACAAGGGUAGCUUCAGGUUCUCUCCUGGCCAUGGAGCCAUGGGCUGUGAAUAUUAAGCAUGAAACAGGGGUCUCCUUUCCUCUUAAGCAAAGUAAGUACUCCAUUAUGAUGCAAAUUGUUGGAGUACCUUUCUAAAAUUUUGAAAAGGAAUCAAGAACUACAGUUUUACCCCAUUUGGCAUUCUUUCUGUAUACACACAUUUGGCAUUCUUCUACUCUUAUCAUAUUGGCAUAUUUAUGUACUCCAUUUUGGCAUUUUGGCAUUCUUCCGUAUACACACAUUCUGAAUUUUGGCAUUUGGGAGUGUUGAUAUACAGUUUUACAGGGAGUAUUUUGCACUGAAAAUUCUGCCAAAUUUAGUAGCAAGUCUGUACACCGUACAAUAAUUUGAACAAAUACUAAUGGAUUAUCGCUUGAAUCAUUGGCAACAAAUAUCUUGAAUUACUCUUGUCUUGAAUUAUUUGCAGUAAAUACUCCAUCAGUGCAUCUAUUGAAUCACUGGAGUAUCUCUGAAUUGUGAUACUGAUGGAGUACUCUUGUCAUCAAAUUAUCAGUUCAAAUUUUGUGACAUCUCUGAAUUAUACUCAGGUUGAGGAGAUGAACCUGUAUUGUAUCUUAUUUAAUAUUUUUGUCAUGGCAAAAAAACAAUCAAACUGAUGUUAUAGUUUCUGAAUUCACAAUGGACACAUGGCAGCUGCUACAUGCAAAUAAGUGAAAGAUGUGCACUUCAGAAGAAAAAAACUGAUGUUAUGGUUUCUGAAUUCAUAAUGGAUGUCAUGUGUCUUGGACUUUAGAAAUAGGUAAUUAGAAAUGAUUACAUUUACAUCCAAGUCUAUAGGGAUUUCACAUUUGGUGAUCCAUUAAGUGAGCUUUCGACGCCAUCGUGCAACACGUGUGGUUUUGGUUCGAUUCUGACCAAUUGCGUUUUGUUACAUGCAACUUACGAGAAGUACAAGGACUAGGGGAUGAUCUAUCUGCAUAUGAUUAGUCCUUGAUUUUGAGUUAUGAUAUGUUAUGCUAACAAUUUUAUGGGACUACAGGUUUUGAGAUCUUUGCUUUCCCAUGCAACCAGUUUGGUGGGCAGGAACUUGGCAUUGAUAAGGAAAUUGUUCAUAUUGCUUGCAUGCCGAGUAUCUGAUUUCUGACAAGGGUUCUGGUAGCGAUGAUGACGGUCGUCGAGAGGUUCGUGGACUGGACGGUGUCGUGGCUGCCGACGUACAGAGAAGCGAAGCUGCUGCUCGUUCUCUACCUCUGUUACCCCAGCACACGGAGUGCGGGGAGCGGGGCACGUGUACGAUGGCUUCCUCCAUCCGCUGGUGGCGAGGCACAAGGACGACAUCGACCGGUCCAGUUGGAGCUGAGUGCCAGAGUGAGGACGUGACUGCGUCGCAACUCAAGGCGGAGGCUGUCGUUAGUCAGGUGUGGCUCUUCGAGGCUAUCCAAUGUGUUUCAUCGCAGCUGCAGGCCACGAGAUCAGGCCGGGAAGGCGCCGCACAUUGAUGAGUGGUCCAAUUUUCGGAUCGGGCCAUAACAACUUACGUAGGUAGUUGCUUAUGUAACUGUGAGAUAGAAUGGAAUUAUACAUGAGUUGCUCCUACAAGGAGGAAUGUAGUUGCUUAUGUAACUGUGCAAUAGAAUGAAAUUAUACAUGAGUUGCUGCUAUAAUGAGGAA